AUGGCCUGCUGCACGUCUGCGCCUUUUCUUCUAUUGGUAAUUAGGACCCCAAGGAGGGGGGGGGGUGGAUCAGCUGACGGGCCCUUGAAAAGGAGCCUUGAGAGGUUGCUGGAUUGGUCCUUAAUGCUACCUGUUCGACGUUCGAGGACGUAUCUGACCAUAGUUCGGUUGAGCCAAUCACUUGCACACCCACGUGACCCCCUCCCCCCGCUCCUCCAUCUCCUCCGACCAGAUCCGACGCGCGCGUGGGAUCAGAUGUUGCUAGUGGUAGUUCGGGGCGUGCGGGCGGACCAGAUCGACCUCAAGACCCUCGACGAGCAGCUCGACCGCCACCUCGCGCGCGCCAGGACUGGGAGGCCGACCCCGCUAGGCUCGUCGUCCGAGGCUUCGUCGCGCGCGGCACCUUCGACACCGUCCACCGCGGCAUCUUCGACGGCCUCGACGUCGCAGGUCCGUCCCGCCACCAUCUCCUCUGCUCCACUCCCCUCCCCUCCCUCCCCGUUCACUGCACGCUUGUUCAUUGCCAACAUGGACACUCGGCACGCGGGUUUCUUCGUCAUGAUCUGGAUUGCCGCAGUCAUGUUCAAGUCCAAUGAUAUCUUGCGCAAGCAGACCGCUCUCAAGGUUGGUUCUUCAUAA
rnacentral:rRNA from 1 species